rnacentral:lncRNA from 1 species
CGCCGGGGGGCGGAGCGGGGCGGCAGCGCCGGGCUGUGCCGAGCUGCAGGGCACGGGACCCCACCGCUGGCACUGUGGCUGCAGGGACGAGGUGCACAUCUCCAUGUGUCCCAGCUCUCUCUGCCCGUGUCUCCCCAGCUGAGCUCUGCAGGCUGUACCGGACACAUCUCCGAGGUCUCGCUCCCACCAGCACACGGUGAGCACCCCGGGGUGCUGGUCCUGCCCCAUCCGGGUCCCCGCACUCCUGCAGUGAUGAUGACACACACACAUUGGUGGUGAGCCCGGGGGGUUGGCACCAACCUUUGUUUCUCCCCAAUGAGCCCAGCAAUGGGGCUUUCCCUCUCCCCAGUGGGAGUGCAUUUUGGGCACCAUUUGGACACGCUUCAUUAUUUCCAGGCGAAGGAUGUCUCAUGCCCUCCC